UCCUAGCGUUGUUGUUCAGCAUGAAUCUUUAACCUAUAGGAGCUGAUGAUUCUUGUGUGUGUGUGUGUAGCUUAGUGGAAUGUUCGGAUAUAUGCAACUUGAUCGGAGAUGGUGACUAUGAACCUUGAAACGUUUAUCAAUAAGAAGAAACUAUGGAUAAAGGACCUCAUGUACCUUCAUAUUAUUUAAAAUGGUAGAAACGUCUAUAACAAAAUUUGAGAGUGUCUUAAGCAAAAUAUAAUUUGAGAGUGUCUUGUUUCUUCAUGACGUGGUAGCUAACACACGUUGGCUAAUCAAAACCUUUUCCUCGUUGAUAUUAUGAUAUGUUAGGUAGUAAUAUGGCUGAACAGAAUUAAUGGGUAUACUUUUCGUUACCCUAAAGCCCUAUUAAAAUCUAAAACCCAAAACCCGUAUGUUCAGUUUUCAAAUUUCGCGGGUUUAUUUUAGACGGGUCUUGAUUUAUAAAUUACCCGAUCCGGUUUUACUCUAUUGGGUUUCGGAUACCCUAUGGGCCUUUUUUUUAAAACAUGUAUUUUUUUUUUAAACAUGUAUUGUUCUUGGUAACAUUGAUAGAUAUUUAUAGAUUUAAUAAAUAUUAAGGAUAAUUAAUAUCAUUUAUUUUAAUUUUAGAUUUGCAAGAUAUUAUAGACUUUAGUUUACGACCUUAUAAUAAUAAAUAAUUUUAUCUUUUCCACUUGCAUACAUAUGUAAUUCUCGAAAUUACAUAUUAAUGUAUCAUGAACGUGAACAUAUUCACCGGUAAAUGCACAUUUUUUUUGGCAAAUUCUCAAUAACAUGUUCGAAAACUCGCUAGGCGCUACGCAUGCGGCUGGGUAGGGCCUAGCGCCGAAUCAAUUAAUCGGAGACUAUAUGGAGAUUAAUCGGAGAGUAAUGUUAUGGAUUUUAUAUAUAUUUUAGGUGUUAUAUAAUUAAUGUGUGUACUAAAACAGUUAAAGACUAGGCUAGUCGUAAUGUACCUUCCCUACCUUAUCACAGGCCCGGGUUCGAACAGUAGAAGGCUCAUUUUGACAAUUUUUUUUAAUUUUUAGGUUUAAUGAACCGGAAAAAACGAAAAUAUCCCUGUCUUCAACCUACAUCUCUGCGAUUUUUUACAGAGCAACAGCCGCCAUUGUUUUUUCUUUUGCGAUUUCAUUGUUUAAUCUUGUUAAUCUUGAAGAUUUUAAUCACAAAAGAACAAAUCUAAGAGAUAUAUGUCAUUUGGAACAUAAAACAUACAAAAACGAUAAUAUUUUAAAAUUUUCCGAUUAAUGCUCCGAUUAAUAUCAAAUCGCGACGGUGGUCCUCCGAACCACGCAUUUCCGCCGAUUAACCGGCCGCGGAAGCCGCGUUUUCGAACAGGGUUUUUUACCACAGGUUUGAUAUCAUUUUACCCUAAAUAAUAAACAAUAGUCAUAAACCGUAAAUAUUAGAGUUUUUUUAUUGAAUGUAUUUUUGAAAAGUGAUGUCCAAUUUAAGAUACUUUAAGUAAUCAAAUUUUUAUUUUAUCACAAGUUUGAAACCAUUUUCAAAUUUACCUUUAAAUGAUAAUAAUUUUGAUAAAUACCCUGAAUUUGUAAUAAAAAAUAUUAAAUAAACUUCCUUAAUUCAUUUAUAAAUUUUUAAGAAUAAUUUAUAAAUAUUUAUAAAAUUUUAUAAACCCAACCUCACCCUCUAAAUAAUAAACCAUAAACAAUAAUCACUAACCAUAACCCAAAUGUUAGUGUAUUUUUUAUGAGUACAUUUUUGAAAAGUGGUAUCCAAUUUAGGAUAUUUUAAGUAAUUUCUCUUAUUUUUUAUACUUUCUAGCGCUAUAAACAUGUUCAUUUCUUACAAAUCCAGUAAAAAUGUUAGUUUGCAGAAUUAGGUUUGAGAUAGUUAUUUUACAAAAUUAUUUUUUAAUGAUCCAUGGUUCAACCAAUUUGACCAAAUGAUCCAUGAAUGAUUUGAAAUAUAGUACUUUUAUCGGUUCGUUUCAAAAGCAUUAUUAUGAAUCAAAUAAGAAGAUAGGACAUAUUUAAAAUCUAUACUAACCCGUAAAUAUAUAUAUUUGUUUCAUUGUCUUUUGGACUACCAUAUCUCUUGUUCUUGUAAUAUACACUCAUACAGAACCAACAUGAGAUUUUAAUGGUUCUUCUUGUAAUCUUAUUACAGGCGCUGCAAUCACUUUCUAUUAAUUAUGGAGUCUUCCAGGCUAUCUUCAACUACUGGAAAGACAAGGUUUGUGGCAUUAACCUUAUGGUUUGAUUGUUACAAGCUUUUUGGAUACAGACAUUGUGUUGCAUAGGUUGAUGAUAAAACCUUGUUUGACAUAUCAUUAGUUUGAUGUUUGAAGAAUAUGCUUUAUUAUUUAAUAUUACAAACCAGUAAGCCAUCUGGAGGAGCACGUUUGGCUUAUAAGACUAAUACGCAUAUGUUUCAUUUUCUUUUUGUAUGUAAACAUAGCGCAAAAGAUGGCAGAAGCCUAUCUUGAGGCGUUUGCAGGUUUGUACCAUUAUUUACGGUUGUUGAAACAAUCAAGGCCUAGGGAUCUUACCUUGAUUAUUUUGAUUGAAGUUCUGCUUCUUUGUUUGGAACAGCCUCCUCCACCGGUCAAUGACACCAAUCCGUACAAUGUGUUUAGGCCAAGGGAGAAAGCUCACAGACUCCACACAAGAAGGGUAUGCUCUUAUCGUGAUACUUUCUUAUAUAUAAAUUCUAUCAGAGAAAGAAAACCACUAAUAAGCUUUGAUUCUGCUACUAUAGAUGCAAAGGAGAGAAAACAAUGUGCAGUCGUUUGAAAAGCUUCGACAGGUAAGCAUGGCUUCUUUUAGUUUCUUUCUGGGCUGUUAAUUAUCUGUUAGUGCUCUUUCAUGAUUUUUUUUCUGUUUGAUUCUGAAUAUUAUUAUGCUUAUUAUUCAGGUUAGACGCAAUCUUGACCAAGCGAAGACCAUUCUAGAAGCCCUCAUUAAGGUGUUCUUUAUGACAGUUUUAUAAUAUUGACUUGUAUGUAACUUCAUUUCAUAUCUUAACAAAAAGGGUUGCAUCCUCAAAAGUCACUUAUUCGAUGUUACUAUUUGCCAGAGAGAAGAAAAGAAGAGGGAUGUCAUGGAUGGCGAGGUUAGCCUUCAGAGAAUGCAACUCCAAUACAGGGUACUACUUACUCCUCCUCCUCCUAGAACUCUUGUGUGUGUUAUUGAUGCUCAAGUCUGACAUUUGGGUUUUGAUAUUGCAGCAUGAAACAGAGCUCUUGGAAGACCCACCAGCUACAACAACAUCUUACAAAUUUGGGUCAAGCGACGAGGAGUUGAUGGACUCAGAUGACUACACCAGCACCCAUGUACGCACAAGACCAUCCGUCAUCCCUAACUCUCGUUUCACAAACUCAAACCUCAAUGCACCUCAACCCGGAGGCAUAAAACAAGAAGUUAGGAGACGACACUCGCAUCACAACUGGCUUCACAAACUGGUUAUAGCCGUCUCUCUAUCUCUCUUUAGUUGCUAUAACUAAUCACUAAACCAAAUCCUGUACACUGGUUCAGGAUCCUAAUGAAGCGGUGAUGCUGUUCACAAAACCGCUGGUUCCUGAGAAACUGGCAGCUGCAGGGAUCGUUCCUCCAGCACCUGAUACAUCCUCCGGUCACCCUCAAAGCCGGUUUCAGGGGAGGAUGGGGCGUGGUGGCCGGAUAAUAUUCGAUAGAUGGAAUCCGUUGAUGCAAUCUCACAUUAACUGUGGGAACUCUUUCUACAUUGCACCAAAUCAUUGAUCUACCAAAAAAAAAAAACAUUUUCACAAUCUUUCUUUGUAAAGAAGUGUACGCAAGAACUAUCAGUUAAAAGCUUUUGCACUUUGUAACUCCAAAAUUUAGAUUGUAUCCCGUUAAAAAGGGAAUGAUUCGGUUAAUCCGGUUAUAUCACCGGUUUAGGAAUUCAAUUGCUAUUGUACCAGGGACGAAAAUGUAAUAAUAUUUUAUACUGAACUGGAUUUGACUUUUUGUAACUCAAUGAUUCGGUUAAUUUUAUAAUCCGGUAAUGACACCGGUUUAGUAAUCCAAUUGGUAUUGUACCAGGGACUAAAUCGUAAACUAUCUUUGUUGGUUUUAAUCUGAGUGAAGAAGAAGAAGAAGGAAGGAAGGAGCGGACCCUAAAUCGAAUCUCAUCAUCAUCAAUGGCUUCGAUGCUGGCUCGCAGGUCACUGGAUACUCUCCGUGCUCGCCAUCUCGUAUGAUUCUCCUUCGCUCCUUUCUUUUUACUUUUCUACUUGUUUGGAUGUCUCUUAAGAGUUUUUUGGGAUCAAAUAAGAUUAUUAUCUGUCUCUUCGGGAUUGUGUCUCAAAAUCGAAACUGUGUGAUUCAGACCGAACCUUGUGUCUUAAUUAUUUAGAUUGUAGAUUGAAAAAAGGAAUUUGAUAGGGAUUUAAUUUUAUCUAACUGAUCUAGGAAUCAUAUGAGGGAGACUCCGUCACGAAAUGAUAGUUUAUUUUGCGUGAUUGUGGUGUAGGUUACUUAUUGGCUACCUCUCUUAUUAGCUUUAUCUUCAUUUCCAUAGGUUUUGUCAGGGAAAGCUUUGCAGGGAUGUCAUCUUUAUGGACUGCAGUCCCGUGCUAUUUCUUACGGCUCCAAGAAAGGUAUAUUCUCUUCUCUUCUCUUCUCUGCUCUUUUUGUUUUCAUUGUCGUUUUUAAACAUUCAUAUGUGUUUGCCUUGUGUAAUUGGUUCAGAUGAUGAAGAAGAGGAGCAACUUGCUAAGGAAAUCUCCAAGGACUGGAAUACUGGUAAAACCUAUUUACAUAUGUUCUCAGACUCUUUUCUUUUCUCAUACUUUGCUUCUUCUUUUUUUGGCAGUCUUUGAACGGAGCAUAAACACACUGUUUCUCACUGAAAUGGUCCGUGGUUUGUCGUUGACUCUCAAGUACUUCUUUGAUCCCAAAGUUACUGUGAGUUACUUACUUACAUCUUUCAAACCUCUCUUUGUUUGAAAGAAACUCUGUAUUGAUUCUGAAGCUCCUAUUUCUUGUGUGUGUAUUCCAGAUCAAUUAUCCAUUUGAGAAGGGUCCGCUGAGCCCUCGCUUCCGCGGUGAACAUGCUCUUCGUCGUUAUCCUACUGGGGAGGAACGCUGCAUUGCCUGCAAACUCUGUGAAGCUGUGAGUCUUGAUUUGAUGUUCUUUUGUAUUAAUAGCUCUUGUAAGGCAUCUCAAGUGAAUGAGUACCUUUGCAUUGAUUUAACAAAGAUUGUUAACUCUCUUCUUCGCAAUCCCGAUUCUGCUGCUGAUAUACGCCAUAGCUCCAGAUCACAGGCUGAUGCUUAUGGAAAUUUAUCCUGGUUAUUAGGAGAACCAUUUGAGUAUUAGUGUAAUAUUUCCUGUUAAAGUCGCUAGCAAUUCUGAUGAAUUGCCUCAUACUUGAUGCAUAUUAUCUGCUCACUAGAUCAUAUAGUAUCUUACAAGGCUAUUGAAUAAUUUCUUUCGUUGGAUUGUGAUAUUGAGAGGGAUACUUUGUGUAUCUAUUUCAUCAGGUAUGUCCAGCUCAAGCAAUCACAAUAGAAGCAGAGGAGCGUGAAGAUGGUAGCCGUAGAACCACUAGGUCACAUAUCCCUGCACUUGCAGUUUAAUAACCACAUAUGCUUUAUUUGUUACCCUUUCAUGAUGAUUUGGAGCUCUACAGGUACGACAUCGACAUGACGAAAUGCAUCUACUGUGGUUUCUGCCAAGAAGCCUGUCCCGUUGAUGCAAUUGUGGAAGGACCUAACUUUGAAUUCGCAACCGAGACACACGAGGUCAGCUUUAUCACACAGUUUUCUAUCCAUCUAUGCUUUUGUGGCAUGCAUAUUGAACCUUUUGUUAUUCCCUCCUUUUCAUAGGAACUUCUCUAUGACAAAGAAAAGCUUCUUGAGAAUGGAGAUCGAUGGGAGACUGAGAUUGCUGAGAAUCUGAAGUCAGAGAGUCUCUACCGUUAAAAAAGACAUUCUGCAACAGUCUUUUGCUUCAAGUUAUUUCCCGGGAAAACGUUUUUUCAUUGCUUCUGCUAGAAAUAAAAAAUGAGAUCUUAUGAGUUUGAAAACUCCUCUUUUGUGUUCCAGCUUUGUGCUGUGUAUAAUUGAUAUGUUCUGCUUUUGAAGCGAGACAACACAUCCCAUAUUUUCAUUGAUUUAUAUCCAUAAUACCUGCAUGGUUAAUUACUAUUUUUCAAAAAGUGAUUUUGUACAUGAUUGUGCUUCUAUAUAAGAACAAUCCGUGGUUAAUUACUAUUUGUACGUGAUUUAUAUACAUACGUGCAUGGUUAAUUGCUAUGAUGGCUUUUAUCUAUUUAUCUAUAUUUGUACGUCAGAAUCUUGUGCUUACCGUGGUAAUAAGAUUCUGACACUUGUGGAGUUUAGGCAGUAUCUGAAUUUCAAGCCACCAGAAGUUGCCACGUGUAUAAACAAGAUAGAGUCUUCAACGAGAACCACUAGCUUUAAUCUUUCUGGAGAAAACAAGACAAAGAGAUUCUGAUGAGAAAGAAAGAAAAAUUUUACAAAACAAAAGACCGAACACAUUAGUUAAGUAAUGAUAAUACACUCUCCAUCUCCUAUCCAUCGCACGAGUUUCUCGAACAGUCGAAGUAGAUCUCAGUGUCAGAGCCGCUUGGUGACUAGAUCGGCCGCGGUUCGUAUAUCCACGGCGGCGUUUGGGGCCGUAGCUGCAGCGGUUAUGAUGGCCUCUGUGUCCACAGCUUACGCAGAGCUUCCUCCUCCGCCGCAAGACGGUGAAACGCUAUCAAACGUACCGCAGACGCUAUCAGGUGAAGACUGCAAGAAACAGAGGAUACAACGACCCAAAUCCAAGAACGCAGAGAAAUGCACUGUUAAAUGCGUCAACACUUGCAUUCGCGGUGGAGACGGAGAAGGACCGCUCAAUAUCAGAAGGUUCCUCUCUCUCUCUCUAUCUCUCUUUCUUUUUUCAUUCACUUUUGGUUACUAAUCUUUUCUCUCUUAUGACUGUUUCUGAUGGAAAAGGCCAUUAGUGGUGUUCAAACAAGGGUUUCGUAGCCGUAAUUACUGGUAAAUUACAUUCCUAGCGUUGUUGUUCAGCAUGAAUCUUUAACCUAUAGGAGCUGAUGAUUCUUGUGUGUGUGUGUGUAGCUUAGUGGAAUGUUCGGAUAUAUGCAACUUGAUCGGAGAUGGUGACUAUGAACCUUGAAACGUUUAUCAAUAAGAAGAAACUAUGGAUAAAGGACCUCAUGUACCUUCAUAUUAUUUAAAAUGGUAGAAACGUCUAUAACAAAAUUUGAGAGUGUCUUAAGCAAAAUAUAAUUUGAGAGUGUCUUGUUUCUUCAUGACGUGGUAGCUAACACACGUUGGCUAAUCAAAA
rnacentral:lncRNA from 1 species